rnacentral:rRNA from 1 species
GGAGCGUGCGAAGGCGCAAGCCGCUGUAUACGCUCUGACGCCUGCCCGGUGCCGGAAGGUUAAGAGGAUCCGUCAGGCUUCGGCCGAAGCGGUGAAUUCAAGCCCCGGUAAACGGCGGUGGUAACUAUAACCAUCCUAAGGUAGCGAAAUUCCUUGUCGGGUAAGUUCCGACCUGCACGAAUGGCGUAACGACUUCCCCACUGUCUCGACCAGGAGCUCGGCGAAAUUGCAGUACGAGUAAAGAUGCUCGUUAAGCGCAGAAGGACGAAAAGACCCCGGGACCUUUACUAUACCUUGGUAUUGGCAUUCGGUGUGGAUUGUGUAGCAUAGGCGGAAGGCUUCGAAGCCACGGCGCCAGCCGCGGUGGAGCCGCAAGGUGAAAUACCGCUCUGUUCGCAUUGGAUGUCUAACCUCGACCAGUCAUCCUGGUCAGGGACAGUGCCUGGCGGGUAGUUUAACUGGGGCGGUUGCCUCCCAAAGAGUAACGGAGGCGCUCAAAGGUUCCCUCAGCCCGGUUGGCAAUCGGGUGGCGAGUGUAAGUGCACAAGGGAGCUUGACUGCGAGACUGACGGGUCGAGCAGGGACGAAAGUCGGAACUAGUGAUCCGGUGCCGGUGUACGGACGCGGCAUCGCUCAACGGAUAAAAGGUACCCCGGGGAUAACAGGCUGAUCAUUCCCAAGAGUCCAUAUCGACGGGAUGGUUUGGCACCUCGAUGUCGGCUCGUCGCAUCCUGGGGCUGGAGCAGGUCCCAAGGGUUCGGCUGUUCGCCGAUUAAAGCGGCACGCGAGCUGGGUUCAGAACGUCGUGAGACAGUUUGGUCUCUAUCCUCUGCGCUCGUCGGAAUGUUGAGGAGGCCUGCCCAUAGUACGAGAGGACCUGGGUGGACGAACCUCUGGUAUGCCGGUUGUCACGCCAGUGGCACGGCCGGUUGGCUACGUUCGGAAGGGAUAACCGCUGAAAGCAUCUAAGCGGGAAGCCUGCUCCAAGAUAAGCAUUCCAUAGGACUACGGGUCCUUGAAGUCCCCAUGCAGAACACGUGGUUGAUAGGCCGGACGUGGAAGCCCCGCGAGGGGUGGAGCCGACCGGUACUAACGGACGAAAGGCAACACAAC